rnacentral:lncRNA from 1 species
CUGGCCAACCACAUGGAGGCAGGAGGCCGGGCUGCCGCAUCCACAUCACUCGGGCAACACUGCAGUACCUGAACGGGGACUACGAGGUGGAGCCAGGCCGUGGUGGCGAGCGCAACGCGUACCUCAAGGAGCAGCACAUUGAGACUUUCCUCAUCCUGGGCGCCAGCCAGAAACGAAAGAGGAGAAGGCCAUGCUGGCCAAGCUGCAGCGGACUCGGGC